rnacentral:lncRNA from 1 species
AUGGACUGUUUUUCUUUAUCGGAGUUCUCAUGUCCUGGCAGAAUCUUUAGUGGUCAAGGGGAAAGUACUAAGGUUGUCAUCAUGGUAUCCAAUAAUUCAGAGGUUUCUAGCUGAUGGAUUUAAAAAACAUAUGGACUUGCAGCUGCUACUGACAAGAGACGACUUCUAUGCUAUAAGAUUUAUGUACUGCCAUGAGCCUCCUACUUGAGGUACUUGAACA